AGGCUGCAUAAGAAAAUUGUAGCGUUUUUUAAGUAUCAUGCACAAAAUGAGUAUUAUCAAGAACAAGACGGGAUAUCAGAUAGGUAUGUACAUAUGGUGUAAACCAAAAAUAUGGAUAUUCAACUACGUAUAAAAUCAAAGUAACAUACAAGGAGAAUGUACAUUCACACUUGCACAUGGAUCUACAUAUAUCAACUGGAUCUUAAUCCUAAUAUAUUAAUAACAAACACAACAUUUUCUUCCCUUCCACCCCCCUAGAUUUACUACGUCAUAAUCUAUUAUUUUUAAUUAUCAAUUCUUAAGAAAAAGAGACGUCGUCGUUCCUGCAUCCUUUUCUGUCUCUUCGACAGUCUUUGAUGGGUUUCUCUGCUUUAGUUUUUGUUUACUCUGCUCAUCCCUUCCAUCAAUUACUUUCCAUACUCGAGUUAAGUGUUUUAAAGCUACAGAUGAACAUUUUUUACUCAAGGAUUCUUUCCAUUACUGCUCAAAUAAUUUUUGAGAAAUAUGCAUAUAUAUAUUAAUAGUACCUUAGUCCUAAUACAUCAUUAAUAAAUAUCUCCAGUCUGGGCCUGAAGACCUUGUAUACAAAUUUCUCCGACAUAGGCACCCACUUGUUCUACUUAUCGAGACCUUGAGAGCGUUGGUCUAGCAAGACUUACUCACCAAGAAGUCUCAGAUGUCGAAAUCCCAGGGCGACGAUGACGAGGGACAUAAAUAUCAAUCAAGAAGUCAUUGGUGAUGCAUUUAUGGUGUCCUUCGCAACUUGGCUUUUUGGAUAGACUCUGACCCCUAAUCCUAAUCUUGUGGAAGAGCGUAGCAGAGUACACAGCAUCGUGUUAUGUGUAAACAUAUCGGCAAUACGCUGCCAUUUGGCCUCGAUCUCUGUUCUUUGUCGACAAAUUUUUAUUUUAAAUAUGACGUUAGAAGGUGAUUUAAUUACGCAAAAUAUAAUAUUCUUCUUUCUCAAAUUGUAUUAAAAGUAAUGACACUAAAGAUUGCCAAGCACGGUGGAAGGAUUUUCUUAUGCACAUUGUAUUUGAUCAUCAUUAUCCUCUAAAGAAUCUAAAUAAGGUCUUGUAAACAAUACAUAUUUGUAUAUGUAUGUCCAUAAUUCUUUGCACUCAUUAUUUUUUUUUCCCGUAAAAUAAAUUUAAUUCAUACUUAUGAGUACUUGUAAAAAUUUAAAAUUAUAUCAUAAUAAAAACUACGUUAAUUAUUUGUUAUAUGAAUAACAAAAAGUUUUUGAGUAGUGAAAAAUCGGCAAUAUAAUUAUUUAUGAAUAUGGAAUGCAAAUUUAAUGAGCGUCUUGUACAUAUACCAUGUGUCAUAUUUAAGUUCAUAUUUGCAGUUGUUUUUAUUUUUAAAUAUUGGUUGUAACUUCAAAGUCGACAAAAGUGGAAGCUAAACAAAUUCUUCGAUGUUAGGAUUUACAUGUUGAUUGAUUUAUUAUUAAAAAAAUCGUCAAGGUUCUUGAAAAAAAUCCCUACAGGAUCAACAACUCCUACGUAUUUUUUUACUGUUAUUGAUUUGGCUACUCCAAAGCCAUUUCCGAAUAUUGAAACGAAGUCCACGUUAUUCAUAUCUGUCCAAAUAUAUUUAGCUACGUGACAACUUUUUUAUCAACUUAGGGCGUUGACAUACCUAGCGGACAAAAAAGUAGUCUCGUAGCCAACUAACUUAGGAUGAAAUUAGAGACUAUGAGAUCCUUGAGAUGUUCUCCAAAUAAGAACACCAUAUGACUAUAAUAAGAUUAUGAGUGGAAAGGAGUUGGGGUGUUUCUAUCUUUCCUUGUUUUAUUAUAAUUGUCCAAUUUAUAAAGAACCCUCUCAAACAAAUCAAUGUAAAGAUAAUCAAAAUUAUCUAAGAUUAAUAAGUUUAAGAAAAUUCUAUAGGAGGUCUAAUGGCUAAAAAAGUUUGAGAAACUCUGGCUUAUAGCCUACUAUUGAAUGAACAGAUGGAGAAAAUUACGUAAUUGGAUAGCUACAAAAAAUUUAAAUUUGGGUCAAUUUUUCUCUCUCUUUUUUUGUAAAAAAUACAUUGAGGAGAGAUGCAAUGUGGAUUGUAUGAAAUGUGCAUUAAUAAUAAUUGUCUCAUUUAAUAUAAUCAUACCUAUAUUAACAUUUUGCAGUGGUAUUACAAGCAAAAUUCAAAGACCAUAUGUUGAAAAUAUUAUUUUAUAUGUACCAACAUUUUUGAACAGUUGUGGUUUUAAAUUCAACUUCAUUGCUAAAUGGUCACUACAACAAUCGUUUUUACAGCAAAUAACGCUUAGGAUAAA
rnacentral:lncRNA from 1 species